GAGGAUAUAUACAGUAGAGAGGCUAUAACAGUAGAGAGGCUAUAUACAGUAGAGAGGCUAUAUACAGUAGAGAGGAUAUAUACAGUAGAGAGGCUAUAUACAGUAGAGAGGUUAUAUACAGUAGAGAGGUUAUAUACAGUAGAGAGGUUAUAUACAGUAGAGAGGUUAUAUACAGUAGAGAGGCUAUAUACAGUAGAGAGGCUAUAUACAUAGAGAGGCUAUAUACAGUAGAGAGGUUAUAUACAGUAGAGAGGUUAUAUACAGUAGAGGUUAUAUACAGUAGAGAGGCUAUAUACAGUAGAGAGGCUAUAUACAGUAGAGAGGUUAUAUACAGUAGAGAGGCUAUACACAGUAGAGAGGCUAUAUACAGUAGAGAGGCUAUAUACAGUAGAGAGGUUAUAUACAGUAGAGAGGCUAUAUACAGUAGAGAGGCUAUAUACAGUAGAGAGGCUACAUACAGUAGAGAGGUUAUAUACAGUAGAGAGGCUAUAUACAGUAGAGAGGCUAUAUACAGUAGAGAGGCUAUAUACAGUAGAGAGGUUAUAUACAGUAGAGAGGCUAUAUACAGUAGAGAGGCUAUAUACAGUAGAGAGGCUAUAUACAGUAGAG
rnacentral:lncRNA from 1 species